CCGCGCUCCUCCUUACUACCGUCCGCCGUCCGCCGUCGCUCGUUUGCGCAGUGACCUUGCCGUGGGACUCGACGUACUGGAUAUACGUAUCGGUGCGGCAUCAUCCCCGUCGUAUACCGGCGAAUCGCGAAUGUCGCGGGGAUUAAAAUCAUCACGGUAUGUUUCAGUGUAUCUGUAGUAUAACCGCCAUCGCGGUAUCGCGACACUCUCUCGUCUCUCUCGCGAAGAUCGAGUAAAGGUUAUGGUGAUUGUCGCGAAUUGAUAAUUGAUGCCCGAUGUAGAGAACGAUCGCGUUUCGGUGAGUUGAGAACGUUAUGACGUUAUCGAACGUAUAAAACAUCUUAUAAAAGUGCCAUAUUUAGUAGCAAAAAUAUCAUAAGUGAAACGGAGUGUUUUCGUACGCCGGCAAUUUCCGGGAAAGCUGUGGAAGGAGGGGAGAGGAGAGAGGGAAGGAGCAGUCGUCCCGAACGCAUUUCCGGAAGUGCGCGAUCGUUGUAUCUUAUUUUCGUGAAUAAAUAAACGCAGCAAUACCGUAAUACACUCCACAUUUUCAAUAUUAAAAUACAUCGUACUCGCGUAUCAUCAAUAUGUGUCGUUAAUUGGCAUAAAUGUAAUCGUGUGAUCAAUCUCGAUUUUAAUACGAGAUAAACAAUUUGAAUCGAGUUCGACGUGCGUGGAUCGCGUACAUCGUACCUAACCUGUUAUCGUCCGGGCAGGCUGGACUCGAUGCGCUGCGAGCGAUCAGCGAUAUCCAAUGAGAGCUCAGUUUCCUUCGAAUUAAUCGUCAUAUUGGAAAUAGCGAAACGCUCGUCGUGCAUCGAGUCUAGCUGUGCCCGAGUGAAGCAUAAUUCGGAGUCGCGAGAAUCCUCUCUUUUCUCUCUUUCUCAUCGCAGUCGUUCCAUUGUACGUCGCGUAUGUCUCGCGAUUCUUUUAUCUUUCUCGAGUUUGUUUUCUCGUCGUCGAGCGUCGCGAUAAAGGAUGUGUGACGACGCGUCGAAGCGGCGGUCGAAUUAACCUCGAAAUAUCGUGUUAAGUGUCGCGCGAUCGUCAUUAACUGUGUUUUCGUGAGUGAAUUUUGUGCGAGUGUGGAAUUCUAACCUGAGAGGAGGAGGCGGCCUGAGAGGCAUCGGGCAUCGGCGGAGCAACUUUGAGCUCGUGAUACCCGCAACUCCGCUGCUAUGCAUCGGUGUUGGUAAGUCAGAUUACCUUUUUUUCGUAAUCAUUUCCAGGCCUUGUAAACUUGGCACUCGACAAUUAAAUAAACAAAUGCCUUAUAAGUGGUAAUUGUUAAUUUUUAAUCUUAUUAAUUUUUAUAAAUAUUAAUUAAAUAUUAAUUUUAAAUAUCUUAAAACGGUAUGCGGGGAUCGAUUUAAAAUCGUUUGUAGUUGUUGUAAUAAUUUUGCUUUUGUUUUUAGUUAUUUUAAAAAGUAACAAAUUCCCGUUUUUUUAUCAAUUGGUACAAUUACAUCACGUAAACCUUCAACUACAAACGGAAAUAAUAUUGUACUACAAUCCACUACAAAUAAUUUUCUAUAAGAAUGAGUCGUUAAAAUUGAUUUAUUUCAAAGUCGGGGGAUUACGUUUUUUUAAAUUUCGAUAUUUUUUUCCACGCUACUACAAACAAAAUAAAUGUUACUACAUUCAACUACAUACAAAAAUCUUUCGAAAAAAAUUAAGAAAAAAAA